GCCCCCUGCAUGAGCAGGAAAGACAUCUGGGGUCAGACGACCCCAGCCAGGUGACUGUCCAGUCUUUUCUUGAAGACUUCUAGGGUACAUGAUUUCACCAUCUCUGGGGGGAGCUUGUUCCAUAGUCUGGACACCCUAGUUGUAAAGAAGAAAUUGGAGGGGGCGGAGG